GAUACAAGUACAGUUGACCGGAGGAGGACUUCAGACGACUUGGUCAACGCAGCGGACAGAUCAUCCACCGGGUCAAGAGGAUGCGGUCAACCCUCCAGACACGUCAUACCGGCAGGUUCGUCUUCUCAACUCCCAGACAGGAUCAACAACAAUUGAAUCGAAGAAGUAGAAAGUAAUACGAAAUAAGAAUUUACUAAAAGAGGUUGUGGAUCAUUACCUCCAAGAUAACUGAAAGAAACACAACCAAUAGAAAGUCCACGAGGAAGCAUUCAGUAACAAUUUACUUGUAAUUUCAUUUCAUUUUUUUUUUAAAUUGUUACAUAUGAUUCAAUUGUAAUUAUAUUCUUUAUAUAGUGAUGAUUUUGAACCUAAGCA